GUGAAGACCAGCUUGCUGGUUGGAUCAGUGGCGAACGGGUGAGUAACACGUGAGCAACCUGCCCUUCACUCUGGGAUAAGCCUUGGAAACGGGGUCUAAUACCGGAUAUGACGUCCCUACGCAUGUGGGGGUGUGGAAAGAUUUAUCGGUGGGGGAUGGGCUCGCGGCCUAUCAGCUUGUUGGUGGGGUAAUGGCCUACCAAGGCGACGACGGGUAGCCGGCCUGAGAGGGCGACCGGCCACACUGGGACUGAGACACGGCCCAGACUCCUACGGGAGGCAGCAGUGGGGAAUAUUGCACAAUGGGCGCAAGCCUGAUGCAGCGACGCCGCGUGAGGGAUGACGGCCUUCGGGUUGUAAACCUCUUUCAGCAGGGAAGAAGCGCAAGUGACGGUACCUGCAGAAGAAGCGCCGGCUAACUACGUGCCAGCAGCCGCGGUGAUACGUAGGGCGCAAGCGUUGUCCGGAAUUAUUGGGCGUAAAGAGCUCGUAGGCGGUCAGUCGCGUCUGCUGUGAAAACUCGAGGCUCAACCUCGGGCUUGCAGUGGGUACGGGCUGACUAGAGUGCGGUAGGGGUGACUGGAAUUCCUGGUGUAGCGGUGGAAUGCGCAGAUAUCAGGAGGAACACCGAUGGCGAAGGCAGGUCACUGGGCCGCAACUGACGCUGAGGAGCGAAAGCAUGGGGAGCGAACAGGAUUAGAUACCCUGGUAGUCCAUGCCGUAAACGUUGGGCACUAGGUGUGGGGUCCAUUCCACGGAUUCCGUGCCGCAGCUAACGCAUUAAGUGCCCCGCCUGGGGAGUACGGCCGCAAGGCUAAAACUCAAAGAAAUUGACGGGGGC
rnacentral:rRNA from 1 species